UAGAGCUUUAUUGUAGAAAGGCAGAGA
rnacentral:piRNA from 1 species